CCUACGGAGGCAGCAGUAGGGAAUUUUCCGCAAUGGGCGAAAGCCUGACGGAGCAAUACCGCGUGAGGGAUGACUGCCUAUGGGUUGUAAACCUCUUUUUUCAGGGAGGAAUAAAUGACGUGUACCUGAAGAAUAAGCAUCGGCUAACUCCGUGCCAGCAGCCGCGGUAAGACGGAGGAUGCAAGUGUUAUCCGGAAUCACUGGGCGUAAAGCGUCUGUAGGUGGCUCAACAAGUCAACUGUUAAAUCUUGAAGCUCAACUUCAAAAUCGCAGUCGAAACUAUUGAACUAGAGUAUAGUAGAGGUAAAGGGAAUUUCCAGUGGAGCGGUGAAAUGCGUAGAGAUUGGAAAGAACACCAAUGGCGAAGGCACUUUACUGGGCUAUUACUGACACUCAGAGACGAAAGCUAGGGUAGCAAAUGGGAUUAGAUACCCCAGUAGUCCUAGCCGUAAACAAUGGAUACUAGGUGUUGAACAGAUACGACCUGUGCAGUACUAAAGACUAACGUACGUUAAGUAUACCCGCCGUGGUAGUAGUGCGACGCGAGUAGUGAACGUAACGUAAAGAAAGUUAGUUACGGCGUUGAGACGUUGCCGACGGCGACGACGAGGGAGGUUAGG
rnacentral:rRNA from 1 species